AAACUGCGAUAUGCAUCGAACAGCUAUCAACAAUCGAUAUAGUCGGGGAUUUCUGAAUGGAGUAACCCACUAUGAGUCAUGUCAUAGUAUAUACAUCUGAAUCUAUAGGAUGUAAUAAGGUAACCGCUUGAAUUGAACCAUCUUAGUAGGGCGAGGAAAAGACAUCAACAGAGAUUUCCUUAGUAGCGGCGAGCGAAAGGGAAAGAGCCUAAACCGAUUUAUUUUUAUUAUUAACUGUAGGUUUAAUAUUUACAGUUAAUAAUUUUUUGUCAUUUAAAAAUAUAACGGGGUUGUAAGAACAAACCAGUUUAACUUGUGGGUAGAUUCUACUUACAAGUUAGACUUAUCUUUAUGACAAAUGGAGAUUGAAGAGUUACAAAUCUAAAGUAAAGAAGAAGGAACCUGGAAAGGACCACCAUAGAGCGUGAUAGUCGCGUAUUUUAAUUAUUUUAGACUUUUCGGUUUGUUUCUUAAGUAGGACGGGACACGUGAAACCCUGUCUGAAUCCGGGAAGACCACUUUCCAAGGCUAAAUACAUUUUGUGAUCGAUAGUGAACAAGUACCGUGAGGGAAAGGUGAAAAGAACCCUUGUUAAGGGAGUGAAAUAGAAUCUGAAAUUGUGUGCCUACAAAGAGUCGGAGCUAGAUUUAUCUAGUGACGGCGUGCUUUUUGCUUAACGAUCCAGCGAGUUAAUUUAUCGGGCAAGGUUAUGUGAUGAUAUCAAGUAGCCGAAGCGAAAGCGAGUUGUAAAAGGCGAUUUAGUCCGAUGGAUUAGACCAGAAACGAGAUGAGCUUACCAUGAGCAGGCUGAAGUUUGUCGAAAGACAAAUGGAGGGCCGCACCAGUUGGAGUUUCAAAUCCUUUGGAUGACUUGUGGUAAGAGGAGAAAUUCCAAUCGAAUCUCGAGAUAGCUGGUUCUCUCCGAAAUAACUUUAGGGUUAGCGUUCGAUAAAUAGAGUAUUGUGAGGUAAAGCACUGAAUGAGGUUGGGGCUGUUUGACGGUACCCGCUUUAAUCAAACUAAGAAUUCCGAUACUUGUUCUCGAGCAGUUAGAACGCGGGUGCUAAGAUCCGUGCUCAAAAGGGAAACAGCCCAGACCGUCAGCUAAGGUCCCCAAAUCUAUGCUCAGUGGGAAACGAUGUGUAUUUGCAUAAACAACCAGGAUGUUGGCUUAGAAGCAGCCAUUCAUUUAAAGAGUGCGUAACAGCUCACUGGUCUAAGGCAGAUAUGCGCGGAAAAUAUAACGGGGCUUAAGCAUAGUACCGAAGCUACGGAAUACAUUAAUUGUAUUGGUAGGAGAGCGUUCUUAUCAGCGCUGAAGUCAAAUUGUAAGAUUUGGUGGAGCGGUAAGAAGUGAGAAUGCUGGAACGAGUAAACCAUAAGAUAGGUGAAAAUCCUAUCCACCGAAAGAGCAAGGUUUCCUACGCAACGAUUUUCGACGUAGGGUUAGUCGGUCCUAAGCCGAGGCCAAUGGCGUAGGCGAUGGACAACAGGUUAAUAUUCCUGUACUAGUAUUAUUGUUCUAGAUAGAUGACGCAUUGGGAUAGUAGUAGCGGUCUGGUGAUUAUGACCGUCUAAGUGUAAUAAGAGGCACGAGUGAAAUGUCUGGUAACAGAUAAAUUACUAUGAGUUCUAGUGACUGGAAAAGCCUAUCUAGGUAUAGAUAAUGCUAUCCGUACCGCAAACCAACACAGGUGCUCAGGUCGAGUAGACCAAGGUGUACGAGAGAACCCUUGUUAAGGAACUCGGCAAAAUAGCGGCCGUAACUUCGGGAGAAGGCCCGCCUAGAGUUAAUUCUUUAGGCCACAGCAAAAGAGUCCAAGCAACUGUUUACCAAAAACACAGGUCUCUGCUAAAGCGAAAGCUGAUGUAUAGGGACUGACGCCUGCCCAGUGCUGGAAGGUUAACAGGAGAUGUGAUUUAGCAUCGAAUCGAAGCCCCAGUGAACGGCGGCCCUAACUAUAAGGGUCCUAAGGUAGCGAAAUUCCUUGUCUGGUAAGUUCAGACCCGCACGAAUGGCGUAAUGAUUUGGACACUGUCUCAACAAGGGACUCGGUGAAAAUGCAGUAGCGGUGAAGAUGCCGUUUUCCCGCACCAAGACGGUAAGACCCCGUGAAGCUUUACUACAACUUGGCAUUGUUUUUGAUCUAUUUAUGUGUAGUAUAGGAGGAAGACAUUGAAGCAAACACGCUAGUGAUUGUGGAGUCAGCAAGUGAAAUACCUCCCUUAAAUAUAUUAAAGACUUAAUCUAUAGCCGUUAUCCGGCAUGGAGACAGUGUCUGGUGGGUAGUUUAACUGGGGCGGUUGCCUCCCAAAUAGUAACGGAGGCGUUCAAAGGUUGGCUAGCUACGGAUGGAAAUCGUAGCGAUAGUGUAAACGCAGAUGCCAGCUUGACUGUGAGGCCUACAAGCCAAGCAGGUACGAAAGUAGGAGUUAGUGACCCACUCAAUCUGAAAGUGGAAUCGUGAGAGCUCAACGGAUAAAAGUUACUCCGGGGAUAACAGGCUUAUGGCGCCCAAUAGUCCACAUAGACGGCGCCGUUUGGCACCUCGAUGUCGGCUCGUCCUAUCCUGGGGCUGUAGCAGGUCCCAAGGGUUUGGCUGUUCGCCAAUUAAAGCGGUACGCGAGCUGGGUUCAG
rnacentral:rRNA from 1 species